GUUGCUCUGAAAGCAGAAAACGAAGUCUGGGCUGCCUGCCAGGGAGGAGCAGACAUCUCCAGCGGGUCCUCAAAAGCUCCGGCGGCUGGUGGGAGCGGGCUUCGCAUAGCCCAUCCCUUCUCGUGCCCCGUGGGGAGGAAGCGCCCAGGCAGGACACGCCCAUCUUCAUUCCUCAGCAUGGCAGUGAAUCUUCCUCAUCCUGCGAGAACAGCUCUGCGAGCGCUAGGAGCAGGUUUCCUCCCCACACGGCCUCCAGUGCCUACAAGAGCGCCCGACGUGGAGAAGACGCACAACGAACGUUGUUGAAGAAAUAGAUGGUGGAGAAAGGAAAGGUUCUCGGUGACGUGUUUCAAAUACGCAGGCACGUAUAGUCACCUGGCUUUUCAGUCACUUGAAGGCAAACCCCUUCACAGUUGGAUGGAGAUGGUCCUGCUUUUCUAUGUCUUCUGAGUGGGAAAAACUGGGUGAAUUUUCUGGUCUAGUGAUUUCUCGUCAUGAAUUCGUGUCGAAUGGAUUUUCCCGCAGCUGAGUGAGGGACCAGAGCUGAGGAUGUCCUACCAGAAUGGAGGUCCGUGUGUCAUCUUAGUCAUUUUAAGUGUGUGCAUUUUUCCCUGAGAAAGUGGAGGUGUUCUCACGACAUAAGAUUACACAAUUGUUAACAGACGUAUCCCUGUGUAUAUUUCCUUUCCAGCACCGCGUAGGUCACAGCAAACACAUGUUAGUUAAACCGUUACUCUGCUAUGGGUGAUGAUUUCGGCGCUUGUCCAUGAGCAGCACGAGCCUUUGGACUAAGCCCUUCCUGCAGUUCAGAGCCAUGCGAUUUUAAAAAUCCUUGAUACCUAAUAAAAGGUGUAUAUUGUAAAAAUCAAACCACAUGAUCAAGGUAAUACAAAGGAAGCAGGUGUUUUUGAAGUCAGGUGUACAUACAUGAUGUGUCUCCCCCUUUCUUAGACUGAGAGCCCCAUUACAUUUGGGGUGCAAUGCUCCCAGUUCAAAAUCUGUUCCCCAGCUUCUCCUGAAGCUUCUACGUACGUCUAAAGUCCAGCCUGUGAGACUCAAGCAGAAGGUUCACUUAUAAAGCAGCUGACUUGUUUUUGCAUGUCCCCUUCAUCAUUCUUGUUGGAAAAGCACUUGUGAUGGCUGGAGCUGCAGAAGCCACAUUGGACCAUGAAGAAAACCUGAAGACAGAAGACAUGGGCUAGGGGUGGCAAAGCUUAAUGACAGAAGGAGCUGUGAUCCUGGGGAAAUUCAUGAAAACACCAUACCUGCCUUGAAAUGUCCACAUGGGGUCUCGUUUUACCUGAGAGAAUAAACCCUUCUUUGUUUGAACCAUUGGUGUUUUGGCUUUUCUGUUCUAGGGCGCUAAAUGUAAUUCCUACACGUGCUAGGUAUUGAGGGCACACUGGGAUUGAAUAUCAGUCACUGACUAUGAUUCAGAAGAUAUAUUUUAAUUCCCUGAGUAACGUUAUGCAUUCAUAAAGCCGAUACACAAGGUAAACUUUGAGAAAUAAUGCAAGUACACAGUAUGAUCAUUCAAAGCCUGUGAGCUCACUUAGACUGGUGCUGCUUCAAUAGUACACAAGACAAAAGCGUUCAUCCCAAAUAUUCAGCAAACACUUGUUGCACCUACUAUGUACCAUGCAUUGCAUUAGCUUGACCGAAGCACGGUGGAAAGGGCUGGCACUUGGAAUAAGUGCCUUGGAUUCGAACUCAUUGUUUAUUAGCUGUGUGACCCUGACAGGUUGUGCAAUCUCUCUGAACUUCCGUGCUCUGGAUCAUACUGGGCCCUUGGGGGUUUGUGAAUCCAGAGACGUGAGUAACCAGCUCUGCUUAGGUGAGUUGAAAAUAGGUUGUGCUGUCAGUAAGACUGCUCACCCAAUAUUUCUGGAUUUCCUCCUUCUGAUACAUGGUGGUGCUGCUUGCCAUCCACUUUGAAGACGUGGCCAUAGCAUGCACUUUGGUCAAUGGCAAAUGAACAGAAGUGACCUGUCUCACUUCUGACUGCUAAUUUUAAGAAGCGGCAGACAAUCUGCAUUGUUUCCUCUGUGCGGUGAUGCUGGGAGCCAAUCCGUGUGCCUCCAUCCACCCUGGUCUCCUGUGACUACCGUAAGCUAGACCUCGUUCCUCCCUCCGCCCACUCGCAUUGGAGAUGUUACUCUGAGAAGUAAGCCUCUGAGAUUUGGGGCUUGCUUAUCACCACAGCAUCACCCAGCUUAUCCUGACUGAUCCAGGUCAUGCUAUCUGUCUUGAAGCCUGAGUACCAGUUUCCAGGGAAAGAAGGAGCUCUCAAUGCUCUAGGGUAAAGAGAAUAGAAUCUUAAAAGGAUUCAUGUUGGUAAUGAGUUCUGCGUAACUGUUAGCAGAGUGCAGAAGCUGAGUCUGGUUAGGUGGGGGGGGGCAGAGUGUGUCAUCUAAGGCACCUUUCUCGAGGCCAGGUCCCCAAAAGUGAUUCAAACUCAGACACCGUUCAGCCAGAUGUCUGGAUUCAAUAAAUUUAGAGCUCAAAAAUGAAUCUG